CCGGAAGUGAGGGUCAAUACAUCUCCUUUAUAGUCACAAUGCUUUUGCCUCUCUCCUCACCCCAAACACGAAAGGAUCAAAGGAGAUAAUGGUGGUGGAACCCCACAGUACAGGAAGUCAUACAAGGAAAGAGGUUAGCGAAGAAGAAGUGGGACACUGAGAGGACCAAGCAGAGGAGAAACAAAUACAUUGAGAUGCGACAUAAAGCGAAGUGAGAGGUGGCAAAGGCUAAAUAAGAGCUUUCAGUUUGGCUGGCGACCAGUCCAGGUUUGACCACUUUUGUCGUUCAAUGUCAGCUGGCAGAGGCUCAAGAUGACCCGCAACAUUACAGUACUACAGAAGAUCGGCGAGUACAUUAUUGGAUGGAUGACCGUGAGCAGACGUGGGCAGGAGCCAAAAAUUGU